rnacentral:rRNA from 1 species
CCUACGGGAGGCAGCAGUGAGGAAUAUUGGUCAAUGGGCGGAAGCCUGAACCAGCCAAGUCGCGUGAGGGAUGAAGGUUCUAUGGAUGGUAAACCUCUUUUAUAAGGGAAUAAAGUGAGGCACGUGUGCCAUGUUGUAUGUACUAUAUGAAUAAGGAUCGGCUAACUCCGUGCCAGCAGCCGCGGUAAUACGGAGGAUCCGAGCGUUAUCCGGAUUUAUUGGGGUUAAAGGGAGCGUAGAUGGGAUGUUAAGUCAGUUGUGAAAGUUUGCGGCUCAACCGUAAAAUUGCAGUUGAGACUGGCAUUCUUGAGUACAGUUGAGGUAUGCGGAAUUCGUGGUGUAGCGGUGAAAUGCUUAGAUAUCACGAAGAACUCCGAUUGCGAAGGCAGCUUACUAGACUGCCACUGACAUUGAGGCUCGAAAGUGUGGGUAUCAAACAGGAUUAGAUACCCCUGUAGUC